GAUAUACGCUGGCGGCGUGCCUAAUACAUGUAAGUCGAACGAAGGACUUGUAGCAAUACGGGUUCUUAGUGGCGAAUGGGUGAGUAACGCGUUGGUGACCUACCCCGAAGAGGGGGAUAACAGUUCGAAAGGACUGCUAAUACCCCAUGUGGUCAAGGGAUUUAGAAAGCCUUGUCUAAAGGAGUAAUCCGCUUCGGGAGGGGCCUGCGUCCCAUCAGCUAGUUGGCAGGGUAAUGGCCUACCAAGGCUACGACGGGUAGGGGGCCUGAGAGGGUGGCCCCCCACAUUGGCACUGAAACACGGGCCAAACACCUACGGGUGGCAGCAGUAGGGAAUAUUGCACAAUGGGCGAAAGCCUGAUGCAGCAACGCCGCGUGCGCGAUGAAGGCCUUCGGGUCGUAAAGCGCUUUUUGAGGAGAUGAGGAAGGACAGUAUCCUCAGAAUAAGGAUCGGCUAACUACGUGCCAGCAGCCGCAGUAACAC
rnacentral:rRNA from 1 species